UUCAAUUGAAUUCGCAUUAAAAUAAGUUCUAAACUACCUUCAAUAUUAUAACUAGUGGUCACCUAACGACUCAAUUUCUGGCUACGUUUGCUUACAGCUAAUUGCUAUUCCACAAAGUGUAAUUUGACCUAAACUAUAAUUAACUAAAUUAAUUCAUACUUGAAAAGCUAACUAAUGCUGAAGACCAACUUAGAUUACUAUUCGAUAAUUCGUUCGUUGGAAUCAACAAGCCCUAACUAUAGAAUUGCGGUGACGAAUCACCAAAAGUAAGUAGUGGUAAAUGAGUAUAAUUUACACAAUCUAAUUUUCCCUGUAUUAACAGGAAUUUUGUAAUU